UGGGGAAUAUUGCGCAAUGGGCGGAAGCCUGACGCAGCGACGCCGCGUGGGGGAUGAAGGCCUUCGGGUUGUAAACCCCUUUCAGCAGGGACGAAGCGGAAGUGACGGUACCUGCAGAAGAAGCGCCGGCUAACUACGUGCCAGCAGCCGCGGUAACACGUAGGGCGCAAGCGUUGUCCGGAAUUAUUGGGCGUAAAGAGCUCGUAGGUGGUCUGUUGCGUCCGCUGUGAAAUCUCAGGGCUUAACCCUGAGCCUGCAGUGGAUACGGGCAGACUAGAGGUAGGUAGGGGAGAAUGGAAUUCCUGGUGUAGCGGUGAAAUGCGCAGAUAUCAGGAGGAACACCGGUGGCGAAGGCGGUUCUCUGGGCCUUACCUGACACUGAGGAGCGAAAGCGUGGGGAGCGAACA
rnacentral:rRNA from 1 species